UUUUGUUUGUUUUAUGUUUAUUUUAUACAGAAGCAUAGGUAUUUUAUUUAUCGAUUGAGGCACCACGAAGUCUGCCGGGUCAGCUAGUAUAAGAUUAAAAAAAUGUUAAAGAAUUUGUAUGGUUUAUUGGUCGAAUUUAUUGAGGACCGAACCCUAAAACAUUGUUACGUUACUUGCAAUUAAGCACUUAUUCAAACUUUCCGUACAAAACAUCUUUCGAAUUAGAACGUUUUGUUCGUUUUGUUUGCGAAAAAAAGACAAAAGACGAAGAACGGAUAAUGAAAAGUUAUUGAUAUAGUUUCAAAAACAAACUUCGACGAGAAUCUGUCUUCAUUGUGAUUGAAAGUCGGUUUAAAAAAAUUAAUGCAAUUUAUAUUAGGAUAUUUUUUUUAUUUCCCUUGUAGGCAGACGAGCAUAUGGCCCACCUAAUGGUGGGUGGUUACCGUCGCCCAGCAAUGCCAGAGGGUGUAGUGGUAAGUGACAUUGUCACUACACAAGGGGGUCGCGGGUUCGAAUCCCGCCAAGGGAAGAUAUUUGUAUGAUAAAUAUAAAUGUAUUUUCCAGGGUUAUGAAUGUAUAUGAAAUAUAUGUAUGUGUAUAAUAAAAAUCUUACAUUUAUAUCCGUUAUCUGGUACCUGUAACACAAGUUCUUUACGAACUUAUCACGGGACCAGUUAACGUAGCGUGAUUCUCUUCUAAAUCUAAUAAAUAAAAUUCUCGUGUGACGGGGUGCGUGAUUGAACUCCUCCGAAACGGCUCGACCGAUUUUUGUGAAUCUUAGCGUGCAUAUCGGCCAGGGUUGAGAAUCGAACAACAUUUAUUUUUCAUCCCCCUAUUUUUAUUUUUUGUUUUUAUUUUUUUAUGAUACAGCAUACAAAAAUACAUAAAACCCUAAAUUUUCACCCCUCUGCGAUCAACCCCAAUUUUUUAUUUGUUAAACUUAAUUUAAUAAUAAACUUAAAUUUUUUUGGCAA